AAAAAAAAAAAAAAAAAAAAAGGAAAGAAAAAAAAACUUCUGAUGGAUUUCUGUUUGCUUCUUUGAGACAUGGAAAACAUCACAAAUCUCCAAUAGGAAUGCUGCAUUGACCCAGAUAUCUGCCCACCAAUCUUAGAGUUUUAUCAAUGCAACUAUGUACACUGGACUUGGUUGUAAAGAACUCCUAUUCAUAGCUGUCCCCCCCAAGAGAGACAGCUCAAAACAUAUUUACCUCGAUUAGUAGACAGUUGUAUUAACGGAUUCCCACAGCUAAAAAACAGAAAAAAAAAAAUUUCUCAGACCCAACUAUAGUAUUUAUGUUCAAUCAAUAAUUUCCAGGCCAACCAGAUUAUACUAAAGAGAAGGUUUGGAGGGAUGUAUAAAAUGUAUAUUUUUUAAAAUCAGGGACAUUCACUCUCACACUUGAACCUAUAUUGAAAAUUAUUAUUAUUAUUAUUAUUAUUAUUAUUAUCGUUGUUGUUUUGAUGACAGGAAUGGAAAUGUUUGUAAUUUAAUGACAGCCAUUUGAAAACAUUAUAAAUUAUUAAUUUAUAUUUUAGAAAAAAAAAAAAUUAUUUGUUUUGCUUUUACCAAUUAUAAUUAAGGUAGAAAUCAAAACAAAUAAAUUCUGUGCAAUGUGUAUUCCUGAUAAAUAUAUAAGCUUCUUUAUACAAAGAAAAAAAAAAGUUAAUUUCAAAUGGACAUAUUAAAAUGAAAAGGAAAUGAUAGAAUAUUGUCACAUUGAGCAGAAUGUGAUAUAAAAUAAGAACAUAAAUUAUAUAUAUAUAUAUAUAAAUGUACAAGCUAGAACUAUUGGCUAGAAGUACCGAUACAAGCAUUAUAUGAAUGAGAAAUAUUGAUAUGGGUAUGAUAUCAAAAUGGAAUAUUGAUAAAAGAAUCAAAAGACAAACACACACAACAAGUAUGAAAUUGAAUUAUGUCUUAAACAAAGAAGACUUGUCGAAAUAAAAAAGAUAAGAUAAUUGUAUGUGAAGUAGUAAUGAAACAAUAAUUUGAUGAAAAUUUCACUGGACACAUUACAUGAGUCAUAAAUAUGGUGUUGUCUCUAUAGUUUCAAUUGAUGGACUGCUUGAGAUGAUAUAUACAGAUAUUUGUUCAUGUGUAAUAUGCGUAUAUAUGUGUAUGUGAAAAAAAAAAAAAAAAAAAAAUCAAUCAUUCAUGUAGUGUUCGAUCACUUUAAGACAUCUAAGAGACGGUAAUUGAUGUUAUAAAGA